GACGAACGCUGGCGGCGUGGAUUAGGCAUGCAAGUCGAACGGUAUCAUCCUUUCGGGGGUGAGAGAGUGGCGAACUGGUGAGUAACACGUAGGUUAUCUACCCUCAAGAUUGGGACAACCCAGGGAAACCUUGGGCUAAUACCGGAUGAAAGCAGCAGUGAUGUUGUUUGAAAGGUGGCGUAAGCUGCCGUUUGGGGAUGAGCCUGCGCUCUAUUAGUUAGUUGGCGGGGUAAAGGCCCACCAAGGCGAUGAUAGAUAGGCGGCCUUAACGGGUGGUCGCCCACACUGGGAUUGAGAUACGGCCCAGACUCCUACGGGAGGCAGCAGUCGAGAAUAGUCUACAAUGGCCGAAAGGCUGAUAGUGCGACGCCGCGUGAACGAAGAAGCCCUUCGGGGUGUAAAGUUCUUUUAUAUGUGAGCAGUGCUUUCUAUGUGAACAGCAUGGGGAGAGAGAUAUUAGCAUAUGAAUAAGCAACGGCUAACUCCGUGCCAGCAGCC
rnacentral:rRNA from 1 species